rnacentral:sRNA from 1 species
AAUUUUAAAAAUUGUAAUCUUGGUAGAUUUAAUUACUGACUUUGAAUAGUUUUAUUGUACCGAAAACGGACAAGACAACUCAAAUUUAGAUUCUCGUUUUUUAUGCUUGUUUAAAUUAGAAAUUUUUUAGUGAUAAACUGAUAAUUUUGACUAAUUAGAGAUAAUUUGUCCAUUUUGUUUCCAAACAAAA